UGAGGGAAAGUUGCAAAGAACUUUGAAGAGAGAGUUCAAGAGUACGUGAAACUGCUCAGGGGCAAACGGGUGGGCCCUCGAAGUCCGUGCGGAGAGGGAUUCAGCCGCGGGCCCCGGGGGUUCCGUCGUCGCCCGACACCUGGAGGUGCGGCGGCGUCGGGUUCCGUCCCGGGCGCGAGCGACGCAUUUUCCUCUCCCGUUGGACGCCGCAGCCGGUUGGGGGUCGGCGGUGAGUGCCAGGCGAGUAGGUGGCGUGGAUCCGGUCCCGAACCGCGGUCCCGUGUCUGCCUCGCCACUAUAGGCACGUGCGCGACGCCCGACCGAGGGAACCGUCGACUUCGGUCGACGAAGCCGUGGCCUCGCACCAAGAAUGCGAGCGGAGGCGCCGGCCAGGAGAGAGGAGGCGCACCCCGAGUCACCGCGCGGUGGCCGGGGGCGUCUGCCCCCCGGUGGGCCGGGCCUUCCGCGGAGCGAGCCUCGGGUUGGCGGCGAGUAGGUCGGUAACCCACCCGACCCGUCUUGAAACACGGACCAAGGAGUCUAACGUGUGCGCGAGUCAGUGGGACUCGAACAAGCCCACGGGCGGAACGAAAGUGAGUGGUCGGGAUCCGGCACGGAGAGUGUCGGCGCACCGACGGCCUGGCGCGCGCCGCGUGCUCGCGGAAGUCGCCGGCGCCGGAGCGUACGCGUUGGGACCCGAAAGAUGGUGAACUAUGCCCGGGCAGGUCGAAGCUAGAGGAAACUCUGGUGGAGGACCGCAGCGGUUCUGACGUGCAAAUCGAUCGUCGAACCUAGG
rnacentral:rRNA from 1 species